rnacentral:rRNA from 1 species
AUGACCUUGUUUAUGUGCCUCCGAGCAUCGGAGGUGAGGACGUCGAAGCGGCUGGACGCGAGGCAGGCUCCGAGGCCGCCGGCGAGGAGGACCUGCAGGACGGGCAGCCAUGCCACGGCCAGCAGAGACCAGAACCUCAUCUUGCCUUGCAGGAGGCGACGAGAGAGAUCGGAGAUCGUUCUGGUGCGAAUGGCUUUGAAGAACUGGCCGAAGAGCCCAGGCUGCUGUGCUGUGCUGUGCUGCCCAUGCAGCGGCGCGACCGCUUUGUUGGCUGCUGUGGACGCACACGUUUCUGCUCAUCAGGCCACGCGUGUCAAUCGAAACCCAGCCAGCCAGCCAGAUGCUUUCCAUUUGCGCCGAGGCGCAGACGAAAACGACUUUUGGCUGUUCAGGAGUAGAAGGGGAGAGAAGUACAAAUUCGUUCGACUCUUCUGCCUUCGGCCUCGUUUCGUCGUUCGAAUCGCAGGAACGAACCAAAAGAGAAGACGGACGGUGUGA